rnacentral:rRNA from 1 species
GAUCAUGGCUCAGGAUGAACGCUAGCGGCAGGCUUAACACAUGCAAGUCGAGGGGCAGCAUAAUGGAUAGCAAUAUCUAUGGUGGCGACCGGCGCACGGGUGCGUAACGCGUAUGCAACCUACCUUUAACAGGGGGAUAACACUGAGAAAUUGGUACUAAUACCCCAUAAUAUCAUAGAAGGCAUCUUUUAUGGUUGAAAAUUCCGAUGGUUAGAGAUGGGCAUGCUUGUA